CCUCUCUGGCCCCUUAAUUUUAUAGAAAGGCCAGGCUCAGCGCAGACCAACGCUACGUUGCUCGUUGGUCGGCAGAGCCUCAUGCAGCUCUGUCUAGCUCAGUAUUUCUCUCUGUGGAAAAACGAGGCGGAGGAGCACGUGGAGUGUCCCAGGUGGGGCAGGAGGACGAUUGUUCCUCCUUGCGGGCAGCGCCCAUGAACCCCCUCCCUAAGCCGGGCGUGUUCUAGUUGCAGGGUGGUGUAGGGAUGAAAGCCAAGAUUAGACCGUUGGAACAGAAGAGUUUGAACGCCUGGAACCCACGGCAGCACGGGGCAGGGGGAAGGUGCCUCUUCUGUGACAUGGAAAUUCCUCUCUGCUUAAGGAGAAUGUCCAUUAAUAGUUCACUUCUGACCAGAUUAUGGUAUCACUGCCAGCAGAUCUGAGAAAAGCCUCUGCGUUUCCAAAUUCUAAAGCCAUUUCACUUUUUCCUAACAUCAGAAAUUCCUUGAUUCCUGUUCAAAGCAGCGAUGGAUGCCAACUCCGCUUAGCUGAAGGCUCUGAGCAGACUCCUCUGGCCCUAUUUACAACCUCACGGCCAUUUCCCCUCGAGGUUCCUACCUGGAUCCCCACAGAGUCCAUAUGAGCCCACGAGGGUCAACUUGGGAGGCAGCCCAGGCCAGACAUGGAUGACGUGGACGACGUGGAUGAUGUGGAUGACGUGGACGGGGACAUCUGCAGGCAGCGAGGCCCCGCUCCUGUGGGAAAGCAGCAGACACGGAGUGGAGCCAGGCACAAGGUCCCUGCUCUCAGACUCUCCUUUCAGACAAGGAUAUUCCUUUCUUUUAUCAUCGUUCUCUCCGGCAUCCAGCUCACUUGAGGCCUGGCCAGACCCGCUGAUUCCUUGGUUCUGCCUCUCAAAGUGAGGAAAUGGGCGUGGACACUGCUGAGUGAGCCUGGCCCCCACCUCCUGGACUUCCCAAGACACUGCCUCCUGGGAGGGACUUCAGAGGUCACCCUGUUCCACUCCUUCACUUUCCAGGCCAGGAAACGAGGCUCACAGCUUCCCCCGGCUCACAGGUGAAGUGAAUUUCAGGCUGGGCCUGGUGGCUCUGCCCCCAGGCUCUGGGGCAGGGUGAGAAAGCGCUGCUCUGAGAAUCAGAGCCUGGUGAGGGACCCAGCCUCCCAAUCCCAGACCUGCCAUUCACACUGUGCCCCAGGGCCAGGAGCCUGCAGUGCGAUUUUACAUACUCCACUGUCCUUAAUGUCUACAACUGUUGAAAUUCCAGAAAUACAACAAUGACUUUCUCUUUUAGAAAAACAUCGCCUUGUCCAAGACUUGGAAGCCCUAGAGAAAUGUGGCCUGGUGCCAAGGGACAAAGACCACACAGAGGCCGGCUGGGGCACACCUAGGAGGUAAUCGUGCUCUCCUGAGGCUGUCCUCAUGCUGGACAUCAAGUAUUCCCUCCAGUGUCCGUGUACCUUGGCACUGAGGACACAGAGACCCAGCCUCAAGUGGUUUCAGCAGGAGCCCUGUGGGGUUAAAUUCCCAACACAACUAAUGAGGCAGGAGUAAGGUUAGGAGGCCAUACUGACAGGUCCCCCUGUGGGAAGCCUCACAGACUCUUCCCUGCACCUUCGUGCAUCAGCACCUGACUCUUUUGCAAGGUAAGCGCUCCUGCAGGAUACCAGCCGACCGCCAGAUGGUUACCUUUUCCUGAUCUCUGGCUCAGGAAAGAGAACAAAAGCCCGUUUUCCCUGAUGUAGCUUCCUCAAUCCCCAGCCAAUCACCACCAGAAGCCCAAGAAGCUAUUAGCUACAAGUUCUUGCCUUGUAGGGGGUGGCCAGGGACUUCUCCAAGGUCCCUCAUGUGCUAGGCUCAAGGUUUAGCUUAAGAGCGACCUUUUCUUCAUUUUAGUAGUAGAAACACAUCCACAGGUGGAGAUUUCAUAUGCUAAUGGUACAUGGGAUAUGUGUUAGAUGACGUAGAUGCUGAGCACAUGUGCCAACCGCAGGUCCACCUUUGCAUACCUGACCACACCAGUGUUUUAUGAAUAUUCGUACGCGGCUCCCACAAGGGAAAUUCCUCUUAAGGCACUGGCUGCUGUCUCUCCCUUUGAGUGGUCCACCCUGCCUCUCAGAGUGCACCUUUGCUUUGCAAUAAACUUCUUU
ensembl:lncRNA